UACUUGAAAUUAUAUUAAUUGUUGAACGGCAUCGAUAUCGCAUCAGUCUUGUGGAGACGAUAAAAACAUACUUACUUUUGUAUUUUAACAUAUGUUCAAGAAACUACCUAUGCAAUCAGUCAUCUAAAAGCUUUUCAAUGAAGAGAACGCAACAAUAACAUGUAUCAAGUAUGACAGUGAUAAUUUGAUAUAGUUGAGAGGAUAAAGAGCUCACUUAAAAGUAAUACUCAUAAUUUGCAGGAACAUUCUAUGGUCUGUAGAGAGAGUAUAUUAAAUUCUAUCGUAAAUUUUUAACGAGAAUUUUGAAGGAGAAUUAGAUUCUGAAGGAGAUACUAAAAAAACUCAACGGCCUUUGAUUGAGAGUAACUAUCCGUGUCUUCCCACCCGUCAGUGUGAUAUGCUAUUUUCUCUGCCCAAAAUGAUUCUGACCAGCACUUUUCUUCAUGAGUUGGAACUACAAAGAAUUCCUUCUCUCACUGCAUUUCCAGAAGAUGGUCUACCCCAUUCACUGAAGUCGUUGAGAAUUGUUGACUGUGAGAAUUUAACAUUCCUGCCUCCGGAAACAUGGAGAAAUUACACAUCCCUUGUGUAUUUGGACUUAGAGAAUAGUUGUGAUGUGCUUACUUGUUUCCCACUCGAUGGUUUCCCUGCACUCCAAGACCUUUCCAUUCAAGAUUGUAAGAGUCUGGAGUCCAUUUUCAUUUCAGAAACUUCUUCCUCUCAGUCAUCAAUGCUUCGAAAACUUACACUCCAUUCUUGCAACGCACUUAUAUCACUACCUAAACAGAUGGACACCCUCACAACUCUUGAAGAGUUGCUCGUCUCUAACUGUGAUACACUUAGAUCACUUCCUGGACUGGACACCCUCACCUCUCUUAAAAGUUUGCAUCUCUGGGGUCCUCAAGAGCUAAUGUUAUCAUUUAGUGAAGGACCUUGCCUACCUCCCAAUUUGCAAUCAAUUUAUAUUGAAUCUCCGAGGAUCACAGUGCCACCCAUGACUGAAUGGGGUUUCCAACGCCUCAAAGAUCUUUCAAGAUUGACUAUUGCAGGUGAUAUGGUUAACGCCUUACUGAAGGAGCCGUUGCUGCCUAUUUCCCUUGUUAAUCUGUCAAUCAGUAAGCUCUCUACAACAAAGUCCUUAAAAGGAAACGGGCUUCGACAUCUCCUCUCUCUCGAAAACCUUACCUUUUCUAAGUGUUCAGAGCUUGAGUCAUGUUCAAAAGAUGUGUUUCCUUCCACUCUGAAAUCACUCCGUUUUAAUGAUUGUUCAGCACUUGAGUCAUUGUCAGAAGACACUUUGCCUUCUUCUCUUAAGCGAUUGAGCAUCUGGCGAUGCCCUCUGUUAGAAGCAUGGUAUGAAAAUAAGGAACAUUGGUCCAACAUUGCUCACAUCCCCGUCAUUGACCUAAAUGGCAAACUGACAAUGUAAGACAUUAAAAGCAAAGGGAAGAAGAAGGAGUUUCACUCCCAUUUCAGCAGGCAAGUCAUGUUCUCAGAGAAGAAAUCAGAAUUGGAUUGCUAAAGAAGCCAACCAAGUUUCCAUUCUUUGUGAUGCUGAGGGCAGUCUAGUUGACGAGGCCCCGCCAGGUGGAGUCUGAGGCGGGUAGAUAUAUGUAGCCCUACCCCUACAAACGGAGAGGCUGUUUCGAUAUACCUUACCGCAACCAUACCAUUGCAUUAAGGCUCACCCUCAAACUUGUUUUAAUAUAAGUUAUGAUCUAUUUUCAUAAGAUAUCGUUAAGAGCUUAUGAAAAUAAGCUCAAAACAGCUUAUGAACAUGUCAAAAGAUGUUUCUAUAUGCCCUCACAAAUAGUCUCUCGCAAGUGCUUAUACCAAUAUACAAGUUCGAAGAAGCCAAUCCAAACAGACCUUAAUUGAUUAUGACUUUGUAUGAAAU